GACGAACCGUGCGAACGUUAUUCGGAAUCACUGGGCUUAAAGGGCGCGUAGGCGGGCGGACAAGUCGGGGGUGAAAUCGUUCGGCCCAACCGGACAAGGGCCCCCGAUACUGGCCGUCUCGAGGGAGGUAGGGGUCGAUGGAACUUCCGGUGGAGCGGUGAAAUGCGUAGAUAUCGAGAGGAACACCUGCGGCGAAGGCGGGUUGCUGGGCUGACACUGACGCUGAUGCGCGAAAGCCAGGGGAGCGAACGGG
rnacentral:rRNA from 1 species